rnacentral:rRNA from 1 species
UACGUAGGGCGCAAGCGUUUAUCCGGAAUUAUUGGGCGUAAAGAGCUCGUAGGCGGUUUGUCGCGUCUGCCGUGAAAGUCCGGGGCUCAACUCCGGAUCUGCGGUGGGUACGGGCAGACUAGAGUGAUGUAGGGGGAGACUGGAAUUCCUGGUGUAGCGGUGAAAUGCGCAGAUAUCAGGAGGAACACCGAUGGCGAAGGCAGGUCUCUGGGCCGUAACUGACGCUGAGGAGCGAAAGCGUGGGGAGCAAACAGG